rnacentral:rRNA from 1 species
AAUCAACGCUGGCGGCGCGCUUAACACAUGCAAGUCGCACGAGAAAGGGGAGCAAUCCCUGAGUACAGUGGCGCACGGGUGAGUAACACGUGGAUCAUCUACCUUUUAGUGGGGAAUACCCCCUGGGAAACCGGGGAUAAUACCGCAUAAGCUCGCAAGAGGAAAGCCGAAAGGCGCUGAAAGAGGAGUCCGCGGCUGAUUAGCUAGAUGGCGGGGUAACGGCCCACCAUGGCGAAGAUCGGUAGCCGGCCUGAGAGGGCACACGGCCAC